rnacentral:tRNA from 1 species
GGGAAUGUAGCUUAGUGGUAGAGCACUUGCCUAGCAUGCAUGAAGCCCUGGGUUCAGUUCCUCACUAUCACA